rfam:Triticum urartu cultivar G1812 contig1153632, whole genome shotgun sequence.
AUAAUACUCCCUCUGUUUCGGAAUUACUCGUCCAAGAAAUGAAUGUAUCUAGAUGUAUUUUAGCUGUAGAUACAUCCAUUUCUGUGACAAGUAAUUCCGAACGGAGGGAGUAGUUA